rnacentral:misc_RNA from 1 species
GAUGAAGAACGUAGCGAAAUGCGAUAAGUAAUGUGAAUUGCAGAAUUCAGUGAAUCAUCGAAUCUUUGAACGCACCUUGCGCCUUUUGGUAUUCCGAAAGGCACACCUGUUUGAGCGUCAUGAAUACCUCAAUCUCCAUCUUUUCUUCGGAUUGAUGGGUGACUUGGAUGUUGAGCCCUGCUGGUAUGCUAUAUCAGCUGGCUUUAAACUUAUUAGCCGGCUCUGUACUGGAUCGGUUUGACUCGACGUGAUAAUAUUAUCGUUGAGGAUGCAUGUCUCAUGCAGCCGGAAAGUAUCAAAGCAGCUUUUAGCUUGCCUUUAGUGCACUUUUACAUUUUAGACCUCAGAUCAGGUGGGACUACCCGCUGAACUUAAGCAUAUCAAUAAGCGGAGGA